rnacentral:rRNA from 1 species
AUGACUCAUGAAUUUAAUUUUUCUAAAUUUAGUAGACAACACCGUGAAGAAGAAUUACCUAGUAAGGAUGAAAUUAUUGGUCUUACUUCUAUUGCUGUACCUCCUAGUGAUCCUUUAGAACAAUAUUUGCUAAACCAUGAAAAUGAUAUGUUUAUGAAUGAAAGAAGGGAAUUAGAUGAAGUAUUCUUUAAACAGGAACCUAUUCUGAAAAACAAUUUACCUAUUGAAAUCCUAGGGGAUCCUCCUCCACCCAAGGGUGAUCCCGUGUUUGAGCUUAAACCGUUACCUGAUACUCUUAAAUAUGCUUAUCUUGAUGAGAAAAAGAUAUGUCCUGUUAUUAUUAGUGCUAACCUUUCAGAGCAUGAAGAAGAGAGAUUACUAAAAACUCUGAAGAAGCACCGUGCUGCUAUUGGGUAUACUCUUGAUGAUCUUAAGGGCAUUAGUCCCACUCUAUGUCAACAUAAAAUUAAUUUGGAAGAAGAUGCUAAACCAUUUUGUGAUCAUCAACGCCAUCUGAAUCCUAAAAUGAAAGAAGUGGUAAGAAAGGAGAUACUAAAGCUCCUUGAGGCAGGUAUAAUUUAUCCCGUUGCUGAUAGUAAGUGGGUAAGUCCUGUCCAUUGUGUCCCUAAGAAGGGAGGUAUUACUGUUGUUCCUAAUGAUAAAGAUGAAUUGAUUCCUCAAAUAAUUAUUAUUGGUUAUAGGAUGGUAAUUGAUUUCCGCAAAUUAAAUAAGGCUACUAAAAAGGAUCAUUACCCCUUACCUUUUAUCGAUCAAAUGCUAGAAAGAUUGUUUAAACAUACACAUUUUUGCUUUCUAGAUGGUUAUUCUUGUUUCUCUCAAAUACCUGUGUCAGCCAAAGAUCAAUCAAAGACUACGUUUACAUGCCCUUUUGGUACUUUUGCUUAUAGACGUAUGCCUUUUGGUUUAUGUAAUGCAUCUACUACCUUUCAAAGAUGCAUGAUGGCUAUAUUCUCUGACUUUUGUGAAAAGAUUUGUGAGGUUUUCAUGGACGACUUUUCUGUUUAUGGAUCUUCUUUUGAUGAUUGCUUGAGAAACCUUGAUCGAGUUUUGCAGAGAUGUGAAGAAACUAAUCUUGUCUUGAAUUGGGAAAAGUGCCACUUUAUGGUUAAUGAAGGUAUUGUCUUG